AUUGAACGCUGGCGGCAGGCCUAACACAUGCAAGUCGAGCGGAUGAAGGGAGCUUGCUCCUGGAUUCAGCGGCGGACGGGUGAGUAAUGCCUAGGAAUCUGCCUGGUAGUGGGGGAUAACGUCCGGAAACGGGCGCUAAUACCGCAUACGUCCUGAGGGAGAAAGUGGGGGAUCCUCGGACCCCACGCUAUCAGAUGAGCCUAGGUCGGAUUAGCUAGUUGGUGGGGUAAAGGCCUACCAAGGCGACGAUCCGUAACUGGUCUGAGAGGAUGAUCAGUCACACUGGAACUGAGACACGGUCCAGACUCCUACGGGAGGCAGCAGUGGGGAAUAUUGGACAAUGGGCGAAAGCCUGAUCCAGCCAUGCCGCGUGUGUGAAGAAGGUCUUCGGAUUGUAAAGCACUUUAAGUUGGGAGGAAGGGCAGUAAGUUAAUACCUUGCUGUUUUGACGUUACCAACAGAAUAAGCACCGGCUAACUUCGUG
rnacentral:rRNA from 1 species